rnacentral:tRNA from 1 species
GGUUUGUGGCUCAGUGGUAUAGCGCUUGCCUAGCAUGCAUAAGGCACUUGGCUUCAAUCCCCAGCACCA